rnacentral:pre_miRNA from 14 species
UUUUAAAGGGUAUUAAGGCACAAGGGAUGAAAGACCCCCGGAGCGGGGAGACCCUCACUCAAGUCUUGGGAUGACGCGACCCCCAAGAACUCACACAAGACC